rnacentral:tRNA from 1 species
GCCCUCGUAGCUCAAUGGACAGAGCACCUGACUACGAAUCAGGAGGUUGCAGGUUCGAGUCCUGCCGAAGGCAC